GACGAACGCUGGCGGCGUGCUUAACACAUGCAAGUCGAACGAUGAACUUGGAGCUUGCUCUGGGGGAUUAGUGGCGAACGGGUGAGUAACACGUGAGUAACCUGCCCUGGACUCUGGGAUAACUUCGAGAAAUCGGAGCUAAUACCGGAUAGGACCUUGCACCGCAUGGUGUGGGGUGGAAAGUUUUUCGGUUUGGGAUGGACUCGCGGCCUAUCAGGUUGUUGGUGAGGUAAUGGCUCACCAAGGCGUCGACGGGUAGCCGGCCUGAGAGGGUGGCCGGCCGCACCGGGACUGAGACGCGGCCCAGACUCCUACGGGAGGCAGCAGUGGGGAAUAUUGCACAAUGGGCGCAAGCCUGAUGCAGCAACGCCGCGUGCGGGAUGACGGCCUUCGGGUUGUAAACCGCUUUUAGUAGGGAAGAAGCCUUCGGGUGACGGUACCUGCAGAAAAAGGACCGGCUAACUACGUGCCAGCCGCCGCCGUAACAC
rnacentral:rRNA from 1 species